rnacentral:lncRNA from 1 species
AGUGUCAGCAGGCGUCCUGGGGUGCCGACAGGCCACGCCUGCUCCAGCACUGUGUUUGCACGUGGCAAGGCUGCAAGUCCAGAGCAGCCGCACGCCACACUCACCUCCUGUUCUCCUUUCUGGGCUGCACACUCAUGUUCAAGGCAAUGUCUGGCUGACAACUCCUGUGGCUUUGCUCUUACCAUUGACCUCUCCAGUCCACAGUCUGGGGUCAAGGUCACCAUAUCCACCACUGUGAAAGGAACUGGCUCCCAGAUGGGACACCUCCCUUAGGAAGCUUCUGAACCGGGCUUUCGAGUUUUGGUUUGGAGCUCCCUCUCGUGGACACAGUGACUAUCCACCGAGGCAAGGUUGGCAGGGCUUCCCAAGUCUCCCCUGGAAGCUCCUUCCAGAGAUGAGGAAACAGGCUGCCAGGUGUCCCUGAAACUGCCCAAUGACGGUGACGGUCUCACUCUGAGCUCUGGGGACACUUCUGCAGCCCCAACACGUCUCCACCACGAUGCCCCACUCCCGCUCUUCUGCACCAAGAGGCUUCGUCCUUGCGUUGGGAAGAGCUCUGAGCGCCGGGCAGUUGGCUAUCUUCUGAAACCCGUAGGACCACGUUUUGUUUCUGAGGCCAAUGUGUGGAAGUUGUCAAAAUAUCUUCAAGAAUAAUUUUAUUUCUUGCAAAUAUUGAAAAUGAUUCUCCUGAUUUGAACAUCAGUUUUGGCCUUGUGCUUUAAGAGCAUAAUUCUCAGGACUCCACUUGGCCAACAACCAUAGGACCCCAGAGUCCUGCAGGAGGAAGACACCCCCUGCUUUGUGGUCCCCUUUUCUAGGUCACAUGACAUUUCUCACUGGUCAUUUAGCAAGUUGGAAAUUCCAGCUGUGGAUCAGGAUGCACCUUACUGACUAGUCCUUAGUAGCAGUCAGGAUUCUUCUUUUUUUAAUUCUACAAACUGUUUUGUUUACUACCUCUACUUCUAACAUAAUUCGUGCACUUCUAAAUAUCAGGUGUUCCAAAUAGGACUCCAGUUUGUCCACUGUGUACCUAGUAGUGCUGGAUCAACUACAUACAUGUAACCGUGGUUAUAUCUGAAAGGAACAUUCU